UACGUAGGGUGCGAGCGUUGUCCGGAAUUACUGGGCGUAAAGGGCGCGUAGGCGGCUAGGCAAGUCAGGUGUGAAAGCCCCGAGCUUAACUCGGGAAUUGCAUCUGAAACUGCUGUGCUUGAGUUCUGGAGGGGGUAGUGGAAUUCCCAGUGUAGCGGUGAAAUGCGUAGAUAUUGGGAGGAACACCUGCGGCGAAGGCGGCUACCUGGACAGAAACUGACGCUGAGGCGCGAAAGCUAGGGGAGGCGAACGGG
rnacentral:rRNA from 1 species